UGCACUUAAUGCACUUAGAGCAUUUUGUGUGGAGACACACACAAUCGACUAUAUAAAAACUAUUUCUAAAAAACCGACUUCUAUAAAUUGGACCUAAUUUCGUAGUGUAGGCAUACCCUGAGCCACUUGUUUGUCAUAAACUAGGAUUUACUUCCUAUGAGAGGAAUUUAGGUUUUUAAUUAAUCCUUUUUUCUUCAUUUUUAAUUAAAACUAACCUAAGCAAAACAAAAUGUAUCACUUAGGUAAAUAUUUUUAAAAUAAAUAAGUUUAGUGCAUUUAUAUAUUAGAAAUUGGUACAGAAUAUUGAGUGUGUCUGCAUUUUCUAAGCAAACAAUGUUAGUCUUUUAGGUAAUUAGAAAUGCUGAAGAGAAAAAUAAAACCAUGGAGGAAAAUUCAAAGAAUCAAUCCAAUGGCAAAAUCAACAGAGUUAUCAAAAGAGCUGCUGCCUGGGAAAUUUCAGAUUCUGACACAGACAGUGAUGUUGAAUCAUGUCAAACCAGAAAUGUUACCCUGAUGCACCCAGCUGCUGAUACACUGGAUCAUGGCAUUUGUGAUCAUGUUGCACAAGAAGAGCUGAAAAGCUGUGUGUGUCAGUGAGUCUAAAGAGCUACUUUUGCCAACCUCUCCUCAGCAAGUAACUACAUCCUCUCCAAGCCCAAAUAAAAGGAGGAGAAGGAGAACGUCAGAGAAAAUAGAGGCAUGUCAAGCAAGAGUAAAACCAAGGAAACUCAAAAGGGAAAUCAAGAAGACAGAAAAAGAGAGGAGAAAAGCAGAGGAGGCACUAGAAAAACAGAGGCGAAGGGAAGCUGCUGAUGCCUUGAAGCUGCUUCGGCCAGACCAGUGUCUGAAGUACAUGACUGUCUGCAUAGACCUAGGUCUACUAGAAGAUCCUGGAUCAGAUGCUUUGAUGGAGGCUUUUGGUUCCUUGGAAUGUAAAUACUACAUUGAGUCUCAGGAAGUUCCCUGCAGCAUAACCUGGAGGAGAAACACUCCUAACAAUUUCUCCAGUACUGUGAUUAUCUGAAUCCAAUUUGUCCUCUCUUCCCUGAGGGGCCUCCUCAUAUGCCUUAUACAUUUAAACUGGCAACAGCUAUACUGUGGGAAAGGAGUUUUGAAUUGCAUUAAUUAUUAGUGCUGACAUUUUCAGUAGCCUUUCUAGGCAGGGCUAUGGGGUCAUCAGCCUCAGAUAUAUGAAUUCUGUGUGACCACUGUUAGUUCAGGGAAUGGAGUUGAGUCUGAUUGUCCUAUAGUUUAUUUCAAAGUGAGUGACUUUCAUGCAACUGGGUGUCAUUGUCUCAAGCACAUACACAUCCAGGAUGGACUAUGAAUCUCUGCAGCAAACAUGAUGGAGGUCAGAGUGAGUCAUUGAUUGUGGAGAGGUUUCAUAUAGAAAAAGAUUUCUAAAACAAAUUCUGUGUUUGCGAAGCAUUCUUGAUGGCUGCUGAGGAGGUGAACUGCAUUGCUAGGGAAGACAGAACGGGCCAGCUGCAGGCUCCCUUGCUGCUGAAUGAAGCCUUUGAGCUCUUUAGAAAAUCCUGUGGCUGUUUCUGAACAUAGGCUGAUGGAAAUCCUAGGGUGUGAAGUUACCUUCUCUCUGAUACCAAAUGCCACCAUAGCAGGAGAUGGGGAACCUUGCCAAUAAGAUGUAAUGAUCAGUACAGUGGCAUUAUUCUUUCCUGUGUCCCACUGCAAGGAUUUCAGGUUGGUGAGUUGAGGUCAGUCCUGUACUUGGAUGACUGGUUCUCUGGGUAACCCAUUAAAUGUUGUGGGAGAAAAGCUGGCUGGUGCUGUGACCCAGUGAUGUGGUGUGCAAUCCAGAUGUAGUGUGAACCUUUUGCUUGCUUUCCCACCUUGAUCUGGGCCUUCCAUCUGUGAAUAACUGGCUGUUGUCUCCAAUAAGCUGAAUUAGGUAAUGCUGUAACAUAGACGGCAGCACAGCCAAGUCCAGUUUCAACAUCUCUGUCUAG